rnacentral:rRNA from 1 species
UACGUAGGGUGCAAGCGUUGCCCGGAAUUAUUGGGCGUAAAGAGCUCGUAGGCGGUUCGUCGCGUCGGCUGUGAAAUCCCGAGGCUCAACCUCGGGUCUGCAGUCGAUACGGGCGGACUGGAGUUCGGCAGGGGAGACUGGAAUUCCUGGUGUAGCGGUGAAAUGCGCAGAUAUCAGGAGGAACACCGGUGGCGAAGGCGGGUCUCUGGGCCGAUACUGACGCUGAGGAGCGAAAGCGUGGGGAGCGAACAGG